UUCUUGUUUAACUUUUUCCUUCGUGUUUCUCUGACUUGUGAAAUACGAGUUGCACAGGCACAACAGACUGGAUCUCAUUCUGUCAGAGGAGACUGCUGCACAGUACGGAGGUUGACAGUGAAGGGCCAGUGCCGAGUUACACUCGGUUUUGCAAACCACAUGGGUGGCAAAGGAUAACUCCUGCGAGAUUUAUGCCCAUGAUGAUGCAUAAGAGGGCUUGAGGUGACAUUUCUUGCUGAUAAUCGACAAGGUCAAAAGUUCUUACUUCUCUUCCUUCCCUUAAUGGUGUCCUGCGGAUUUGUCUUCCAAAAAGAUACGUUUCUUCUCACAUACAGCAUGCUGUGUGUUUUCUCUGGGUCCUACAAAUAUGGUCAGUUGAUUUUCUUUUGUCUUUAAAGUUGUAAAAAAUUAUAUUGUGUACAUUCUAAUUUUGUUCAUGAUUUAGGUCCAUAUUCUGUUCAUGAGAAGCGUCGUUCACUGCUUUUGGAAUAAACAGCAAAACAAGGAAAUGUGAAAGAUGGCUGGCUGAGUAGUGAAAAGCACUGAUCAAAUUCAGUAAAAUCACCUUACAGUUUUUUGAGUUUUUCUGAAUAUUUCUGGUCAGUGGUCAAUGAAGCUGUCCCUCUUUUUAAGGGACAAAUAUGCUGAGUGAGUGUACUGUGCUCUACUUAAGGGAAACCAUAUUGACGAAGUAGAACCAACCAUUUUUAAAUGACAAAAAUGUGGGGAAAACAAUAGCUGAUAUAGGGUUUAUGCUGGAAUCCAUCUGUUUAAAAAUAAAGGCAGAUGCAUCUCUUCAUAAAUUGAAAGAGG